UACAGAGGGUGCAAGCGUUGUUCGGAAUUACUGGGCGUAAAGGGCGCGUAGGCGGCACUGUUAGUCAGGCGUGAAAGUCCUGGGCUCAACCUGGGAACUGCGCUUGAUACGGCAGAGCUGGAGGAUGGAAGAGGCUCGCGGAAUUCCCAGUGUAGAGGUGAAAUUCGUAGAUAUUGGGAAGAACACCGGUGGCGAAGGCGGCGAGCUGGUCCAUUACUGACGCUGAGGCGCGACAGCGUGGGGAGCAAACAGG
rnacentral:rRNA from 1 species